CCAGGUUUGCAGCAGUUGGACAAUUAGGUUUUAGUAUCACAUUAGUUAAAAGAGGCCCUGCGGGGGGAAGAAGGUGAGGGACGUUUUAACUGGAUAGCAGUACUGUCUGGGUUUAGAGACUCCACAGAAGACCCGAGUGACGGACGAGAGUCGAGUUGGACCUUCCGGUCGGGAAUCACGCUUUUUUGAAGGCAAUUGGUUGGAGUCGAAAUCGCAGACGCAAGAUAAGCAAGACUCCACAGAAGACCCGAGUGACGGACGAGAGUCGAGUUGGACCUUCCGGUCGGGAAUCACGCUUUUUUGAAGGCAAUUGGUUGGAGUCGAAAUCGCAGACGCAAGAUAAGCAGUAGGAACAUUAUUCUUUUAUUUAUUGUCUUAGUUACAUUAUUGUCUUAAUGAUGUGGAAAGGCAAAGAUAGGAGAGGUUGUGUGGAUCGAUACCUGCCACGUGGGCGAGUGGGUAACUCUGGUUAGUGUCCCUGGGGAUUCCUUCUUAACCACGGUCAGGUUAAAAAUAGUCCAGAACUUUCAUUAUGUGAAAAUUCUGGAAAAAUAGUCCCAACUACCUAAGGGAAUUAAGAAGUAGGCCUACAGAUUCUCCGCAUGGCCUGAGUGAGGCCCAAGGAGCUAGGCCGCCCUGGAAUUAAACCCUUAGAAGUAGUAUGACCUGUACAAUUUUGUGCCUUUCGUUGUCUGGUCUAGGGGGUAGUACAUACGCCAAGCGUGAUUGGCUUGGUUUAAGCCAUUUCAGGGGAGGUGUCGCCUUUCAUUGUCUGGUCCAGGGGUAAUACACACGGCAAGCUUGAUCAACUUGACGGAGCCGGCUCGAGGAGGGUGUCUAAUGUAAAGGCUCGAAACACCCGAAGAUCCGAGAGUGCAUUACUGAUGAUGUGUCCUGGCACAUGAUAAUGAAAGGUUUCGAUUUUCCUAUACAAGCAGCUGGCUUAGGAGCUCAGACUUUAAAUUCUGCAGACUAACCUUGGCCAGCUAAACAUAUAGAUCCACCAGCCCUACACUUAAACCUAAUCCUAAAGUCCAAAAGGGGCAUACACCCCCAUAAAUAGGCAAAUUCCAAGAGGGGUAGUCACCCCCAUAAACCCUAGGCAACUUCCAAGGGGGGCAUACACCCCCACAAACCCUAGGCAUUCCCCGAUUAACUUUUGAUAUUCUGAGAGGGGUAGGAUUCAACAAGGGCAAGUGUGGGACCUGGUUAAUGAAGGCGUGGGCCAGAUCAAAGUGGCAGGGUGAUGUGAAACAGAAUCUCAAGUGAGGAGAUCAGAAAUCACAAGAGGGCUUUUUAGCCCACUGCCCGCAUAAUUUCAACCUAACCUAUCAGUGACACGCUCUUCAUUCUCCCGGCCCCAGAAAGGCCAAUAAGAAAACCCAGAUAUUUUAUUCCACCUAUUAGGUGUUCAAAAAUUCAUAGUUAAAAGAAUGGAGAGGUUCACCAAUCAGCAGCUAAUGUACCUUUAAGGGCUGAGGUGAGCCGGUCUCCUAGCAACAGCCAGGUUUGCAGCAGUUGGACAAUUAGGUUUUAGUAUCACAUUAGUUAAAAGAGGCCCUGCGGGGGGAAGAAGGUGAGGGACGUUUUAACUGGAUAGCAGUACUGUCUGGGUUUAGAGACUCCACAGAAGACCCGAGUGACGGACGAGAGUCGAGUUGGACCUUCCGGUCGGGAAUCACGCUUUUUUGAAGGCAAUUGGUUGGAGUCGAAAUCGCAGACGCAAGAUAAGCAGUAGGAACAUUAUUCUUUUAUUUAUUGUCUUAGUUACAUUAUUGUCUUAAUGAUGUGGAAAGGCAAAGAUAGGAGAGGUUGUGUGGAUCGAUACCUGCCACGUGGGCGAGUGGGUAACUCUGGUUAGUGUCCCUGGGGAUUCCUUCUUAACCACGGUCAGGUUAAAAAUAGUCCAGAACUUUCAUUAUGUGAAAAUUCUGGAAAAAUAGUCCCAACUACCUAAGGGAAUUAAGAAGUAGGCCUACAGAUUCUCCGCAUGGCCUGAGUGAGGCCCAAGGAGCUAGGCCGCCCUGGAAUUAAACCCUUAGAAGUAGUAUGACCUGUACAAUUUUGUGCCUUUCGUUGUCUGGUCUAGGGGGUAGUACAUACGCCAAGCGUGAUUGGCUUGGUUUAAGCCAUUUCAGGGGAGGUGUCGCCUUUCAUUGUCUGGUCCAGGGGUAAUACACACGGCAAGCUUGAUCAACUUGACGGAGCCGGCUCGAGGAGGGUGUCUAAUGUAAAGGCUCGAAACACCCGAAGAUCCGAGAGUGCAUUACUGAUGAUGUGUCCUGGCACAUGAUAAUGAAAGGUUUCGAUUUUCCUAUACAAGCAGCUGGCUUAGGAGCUCAGACUUUAAAUUCUGCAGACUAACCUUGGCCAGCUAAACAUAUAGAUCCACCAGCCCUACACUUAAACCUAAUCCUAAAGUCCAAAAGGGGCAUACACCCCCAUAAAUAGGCAAAUUCCAAGAGGGGUAGUCACCCCCAUAAACCCUAGGCAACUUCCAAGGGGGGCAUACACCCCCACAAACCCUAGGCAUUCCCCGAUUAACUUUUGAUAUUCUGAGAGGGGUAGGAUUCAACAAGGGCAAGUGUGGGACCUGGUUAAUGAAGGCGUGGGCCAGAUCAAAGUGGCAGGGUGAUGUGAAACAGAAUCUCAAGUGAGGAGAUCAGAAAUCACAAGAGGGCUUUUUAGCCCACUGCCCGCAUAAUUUCAACCUAACCUAUCAGUGACACGCUCUUCAUUCUCCCGGCCCCAGAAAGGCCAAUAAGAAAACCCAGAUAUUUUAUUCCACCUAUUAGGUGUUCAAAAAUUCAUAGUUAAAAGAAUGGAGAGGUUCACCAAUCAGCAGCUAAUGUACCUUUAAGGGCUGAGGUGAGCCGGUCUCCUAGCAACAGCCAGGUUUGCAGCAGUUGGACAAUUAGGUUUUAGUAUCACAUUAGUUAAAAGAGGCCCUGCGGGGGGAAGAAGGUGAGGGACGUUUUAACUGGAUAGCAGUACUGUCUGGGUUUAGAGACUCCACAGAAGACCCGAGUGACGGACGAGAGUCGAGUUGGACCUUCCGGUCGGGAAUCACGCUUUUUUGAAGGCAAUUGGUUGGAGUCGAAAUCGCAGACGCAAGAUAAGCAGUAGGAACAUUAUUCUUUUAUUUAUUGUCUUAGUUACAUUAUUGUCUUAAUGAUGUGGAAAGGCAAAGAUAGGAGAGGUUGUGUGGAUCGAUACCUGCCACGUGGGCGAGUGGGUAACUCUGGUUAGUGUCCCUGGGGAUUCCUUCUUAACCACGGUCAGGUUAAAAAUAGUCCAGAACUUUCAUUAUGUGAAAAUUCUGGAAAAAUAGUCCCAACUACCUAAGGGAAUUAAGAAGUAGGCCUACAGAUUCUCCGCAUGGCCUGAGUGAGGCCCAAGGAGCUAGGCCGCCCUGGAAUUAAACCCUUAGAAGUAGUAUGACCUGUACAAUUUUGUGCCUUUCGUUGUCUGGUCUAGGGGGUAGUACAUACGCCAAGCGUGAUUGGCUUGGUUUAAGCCAUUUCAGGGGAGGUGUCGCCUUUCAUUGUCUGGUCCAGGGGUAAUACACACGGCAAGCUUGAUCAACUUGACGGAGCCGGCUCGAGGAGGGUGUCUAAUGUAAAGGCUCGAAACACCCGAAGAUCCGAGAGUGCAUUACUGAUGAUGUGUCCUGGCACAUGAUAAUGAAAGGUUUCGAUUUUCCUAUACAAGCAGCUGGCUUAGGAGCUCAGACUUUAAAUUCUGCAGACUAACCUUGGCCAGCUAAACAUAUAGAUCCACCAGCCCUACACUUAAACCUAAUCCUAAAGUCCAAAAGGGGCAUACACCCCCAUAAAUAGGCAAAUUCCAAGAGGGGUAGUCACCCCCAUAAACCCUAGGCAACUUCCAAGGGGGGCAUACACCCCCACAAACCCUAGGCAUUCCCCGAUUAACUUUUGAUAUUCUGAGAGGGGUAGGAUUCAACAAGGGCAAGUGUGGGACCUGGUUAAUGAAGGCGUGGGCCAGAUCAAAGUGGCAGGGUGAUGUGAAACAGAAUCUCAAGUGAGGAGAUCAGAAAUCACAAGAGGGCUUUUUAGCCCACUGCCCGCAUAAUUUCAACCUAACCUAUCAGUGACACGCUCUUCAUUCUCCCGGCCCCAGAAAGGCCAAUAAGAAAACCCAGAUAUUUUAUUCCACCUAUUAGGUGUUCAAAAAUUCAUAGUUAAAAGAAUGGAGAGGUUCACCAAUCAGCAGCUAAUGUACCUUUAAGGGCUGAGGUGAGCCGGUCUCCUAGCAACAGCCAGGUUUGCAGCAGUUGGACAAUUAGGUUUUAGUAUCACAUUAGUUAAAAGAGGCCCUGCGGGGGGAAGAAGGUGAGGGACGUUUUAACUGGAUAGCAGUACUGUCUGGGUUUAGAGACUCCACAGAAGACCCGAGUGACGGACGAGAGUCGAGUUGGACCUUCCGGUCGGGAAUCACGCUUUUUUGAAGGCAAUUGGUUGGAGUCGAAAUCGCAGACGCAAGAUAAGCAGUAGGAACAUUAUUCUUUUAUUUAUUGUCUUAGUUACAUUAUUGUCUUAAUGAUGUGGAAAGGCAAAGAUAGGAGAGGUUGUGUGGAUCGAUACCUGCCACGUGGGCGAGUGGGUAACUCUGGUUAGUGUCCCUGGGGAUUCCUUCUUAACCACGGUCAGGUUAAAAAUAGUCCAGAACUUUCAUUAUGUGAAAAUUCUGGAAAAAUAGUCCCAACUACCUAAGGGAAUUAAGAAGUAGGCCUACAGAUUCUCCGCAUGGCCUGAGUGAGGCCCAAGGAGCUAGGCCGCCCUGGAAUUAAACCCUUAGAAGUAGUAUGACCUGUACAAUUUUGUGCCUUUCGUUGUCUGGUCUAGGGGGUAGUACAUACGCCAAGCGUGAUUGGCUUGGUUUAAGCCAUUUCAGGGGAGGUGUCGCCUUUCAUUGUCUGGUCCAGGGGUAAUACACACGGCAAGCUUGAUCAACUUGACGGAGCCGGCUCGAGGAGGGUGUCUAAUGUAAAGGCUCGAAACACCCGAAGAUCCGAGAGUGCAUUACUGAUGAUGUGUCCUGGCACAUGAUAAUGAAAGGUUUCGAUUUUCCUAUACAAGCAGCUGGCUUAGGAGCUCAGACUUUAAAUUCUGCAGACUAACCUUGGCCAGCUAAACAUAUAGAUCCACCAGCCCUACACUUAAACCUAAUCCUAAAGUCCAAAAGGGGCAUACACCCCCAUAAAUAGGCAAAUUCCAAGAGGGGUAGUCACCCCCAUAAACCCUAGGCAACUUCCAAGGGGGGCAUACACCCCCACAAACCCUAGGCAUUCCCCGAUUAACUUUUGAUAUUCUGAGAGGGGUAGGAUUCAACAAGGGCAAGUGUGGGACCUGGUUAAUGAAGGCGUGGGCCAGAUCAAAGUGGCAGGGUGAUGUGAAACAGAAUCUCAAGUGAGGAGAUCAGAAAUCACAAGAGGGCUUUUUAGCCCACUGCCCGCAUAAUUUCAACCUAACCUAUCAGUGACACGCUCUUCAUUCUCCCGGCCCCAGAAAGGCCAAUAAGAAAACCCAGAUAUUUUAUUCCACCUAUUAGGUGUUCAAAAAUUCAUAGUUAAAAGAAUGGAGAGGUUCACCAAUCAGCAGCUAAUGUACCUUUAAGGGCUGAGGUGAGCCGGUCUCCUAGCAACAGCCAGGUUUGCAGCAGUUGGACAAUUAGGUUUUAGUAUCACAUUAGUUAAAAGAGGCCCUGCGGGGGGAAGAAGGUGAGGGACGUUUUAACUGGAUAGCAGUACUGUCUGGGUUUAGAGACUCCACAGAAGACCCGAGUGACGGACGAGAGUCGAGUUGGACCUUCCGGUCGGGAAUCACGCUUUUUUGAAGGCAAUUGGUUGGAGUCGAAAUCGCAGACGCAAGAUAAGCAGUAGGAACAUUAUUCUUUUAUUUAUUGUCUUAGUUACAUUAUUGUCUUAAUGAUGUGGAAAGGCAAAGAUAGGAGAGGUUGUGUGGAUCGAUACCUGCCACGUGGGCGAGUGGGUAACUCUGGUUAGUGUCCCUGGGGAUUCCUUCUUAACCACGGUCAGGUUAAAAAUAGUCCAGAACUUUCAUUAUGUGAAAAUUCUGGAAAAAUAGUCCCAACUACCUAAGGGAAUUAAGAAGUAGGCCUACAGAUUCUCCGCAUGGCCUGAGUGAGGCCCAAGGAGCUAGGCCGCCCUGGAAUUAAACCCUUAGAAGUAGUAUGACCUGUACAAUUUUGUGCCUUUCGUUGUCUGGUCUAGGGGGUAGUACAUACGCCAAGCGUGAUUGGCUUGGUUUAAGCCAUUUCAGGGGAGGUGUCGCCUUUCAUUGUCUGGUCCAGGGGUAAUACACACGGCAAGCUUGAUCAACUUGACGGAGCCGGCUCGAGGAGGGUGUCUAAUGUAAAGGCUCGAAACACCCGAAGAUCCGAGAGUGCAUUACUGAUGAUGUGUCCUGGCACAUGAUAAUGAAAGGUUUCGAUUUUCCUAUACAAGCAGCUGGCUUAGGAGCUCAGACUUUAAAUUCUGCAGACUAACCUUGGCCAGCUAAACAUAUAGAUCCACCAGCCCUACACUUAAACCUAAUCCUAAAGUCCAAAAGGGGCAUACACCCCCAUAAAUAGGCAAAUUCCAAGAGGGGUAGUCACCCCCAUAAACCCUAGGCAACUUCCAAGGGGGGCAUACACCCCCACAAACCCUAGGCAUUCCCCGAUUAACUUUUGAUAUUCUGAGAGGGGUAGGAUUCAACAAGGGCAAGUGUGGGACCUGGUUAAUGAAGGCGUGGGCCAGAUCAAAGUGGCAGGGUGAUGUGAAACAGAAUCUCAAGUGAGGAGAUCAGAAAUCACAAGAGGGCUUUUUAGCCCACUGCCCGCAUAAUUUCAACCUAACCUAUCAGUGACACGCUCUUCAUUCUCCCGGCCCCAGAAAGGCCAAUAAGAAAACCCAGAUAUUUUAUUCCACCUAUUAGGUGUUCAAAAAUUCAUAGUUAAAAGAAUGGAGAGGUUCACCAAUCAGCAGCUAAUGUACCUUUAAGGGCUGAGGUGAGCCGGUCUCCUAGCAACAGCCAGGUUUGCAGCAGUUGGACAAUUAGGUUUUAGUAUCACAUUAGUUAAAAGAGGCCCUGCGGGGGGAAGAAGGUGAGGGACGUUUUAACUGGAUAGCAGUACUGUCUGGGUUUAGAGACUCCACAGAAGACCCGAGUGACGGACGAGAGUCGAGUUGGACCUUCCGGUCGGGAAUCACGCUUUUUUGAAGGCAAUUGGUUGGAGUCGAAAUCGCAGACGCAAGAUAAGCAGUAGGAACAUUAUUCUUUUAUUUAUUGUCUUAGUUACAUUAUUGUCUUAAUGAUGUGGAAAGGCAAAGAUAGGAGAGGUUGUGUGGAUCGAUACCUGCCACGUGGGCGAGUGGGUAACUCUGGUUAGUGUCCCUGGGGAUUCCUUCUUAACCACGGUCAGGUUAAAAAUAGUCCAGAACUUUCAUUAUGUGAAAAUUCUGGAAAAAUAGUCCCAACUACCUAAGGGAAUUAAGAAGUAGGCCUACAGAUUCUCCGCAUGGCCUGAGUGAGGCCCAAGGAGCUAGGCCGCCCUGGAAUUAAACCCUUAGAAGUAGUAUGACCUGUACAAUUUUGUGCCUUUCGUUGUCUGGUCUAGGGGGUAGUACAUACGCCAAGCGUGAUUGGCUUGGUUUAAGCCAUUUCAGGGGAGGUGUCGCCUUUCAUUGUCUGGUCCAGGGGUAAUACACACGGCAAGCUUGAUCAACUUGACGGAGCCGGCUCGAGGAGGGUGUCUAAUGUAAAGGCUCGAAACACCCGAAGAUCCGAGAGUGCAUUACUGAUGAUGUGUCCUGGCACAUGAUAAUGAAAGGUUUCGAUUUUCCUAUACAAGCAGCUGGCUUAGGAGCUCAGACUUUAAAUUCUGCAGACUAACCUUGGCCAGCUAAACAUAUAGAUCCACCAGCCCUACACUUAAACCUAAUCCUAAAGUCCAAAAGGGGCAUACACCCCCAUAAAUAGGCAAAUUCCAAGAGGGGUAGUCACCCCCAUAAACCCUAGGCAACUUCCAAGGGGGGCAUACACCCCCACAAACCCUAGGCAUUCCCCGAUUAACUUUUGAUAUUCUGAGAGGGGUAGGAUUCAACAAGGGCAAGUGUGGGACCUGGUUAAUGAAGGCGUGGGCCAGAUCAAAGUGGCAGGGUGAUGUGAAACAGAAUCUCAAGUGAGGAGAUCAGAAAUCACAAGAGGGCUUUUUAGCCCACUGCCCGCAUAAUUUCAACCUAACCUAUCAGUGACACGCUCUUCAUUCUCCCGGCCCCAGAAAGGCCAAUAAGAAAACCCAGAUAUUUUAUUCCACCUAUUAGGUGUUCAAAAAUUCAUAGUUAAAAGAAUGGAGAGGUUCACCAAUCAGCAGCUAAUGUACCUUUAAGGGCUGAGGUGAGCCGGUCUCCUAGCAACAGCCAGGUUUGCAGCAGUUGGACAAUUAGGUUUUAGUAUCACAUUAGUUAAAAGAGGCCCUGCGGGGGGAAGAAGGUGAGGGACGUUUUAACUGGAUAGCAGUACUGUCUGGGUUUAGAGACUCCACAGAAGACCCGAGUGACGGACGAGAGUCGAGUUGGACCUUCCGGUCGGGAAUCACGCUUUUUUGAAGGCAAUUGGUUGGAGUCGAAAUCGCAGACGCAAGAUAAGCAGGGCAAGAUUCAACAAAGGCAAGUGUUGGACCUGGUUAAUGAAGGCCUGGGCCAGAUCAAGUUGGCAGUGUCGCGUGAAACUGAAUCUCAAGUGACGAGAUCAAAAAGCACAAGAGGGCUGAUUCGCCCACUGUCCGCAUAAACUCAACCUAACCGUAAUGUGAUGUGGAGAACACUCCCAGCUGGUGGUGUCCUGUCAUAACGACAGAUCAGAUGUGUACAACACUGCCACCUGCUGGUGUCCUGCCACCAUGACAGAUCAGAUGUGGACAAUAAUCCCACCUGGUGGUGUCGUGCCGCAAUGACAGUUCGUCCGUAGACAAUACUCCCACCUGGUGGUGUCCUGUCAUAACGACAGAUCAGGUGUGUACAACACUCCCACCUGCUGGUGUGCUG